AAAAAAGAAAAAGAAGAGGUACCAGCCAACAGGAAGACCAAGGGGAAGACCAGAAGGAAGGAGAAAUCCUAUAUACUCACUAAUAGAUAAGAAGAAACAAUUUAGAAGCAGAGGAUCUGGCUUCCCAUUUUUAGAAUCAGAGAAUGAAAAAAACCCACCUUGGAGAAAAAUUUUAACGUUUGAGCAAGCUGUUGCAAGAGGAUUUUUUAACUAUAUUGAAAAACUGAAGUAUGAACACCACCUGAAAGAAUCAUUGAAACAAAUGAAUGUUGGUGAAGAUUUAGAAAAUGAAGAUUUUGAUAGUCGUAGAUAUAAAUUUUUGGAUGAUGAUGGAUCCAUUUCUCCUAUUGAGGAGUCAACGUAAGUGGAAUCAUAUGAAAUACUUUGGUAAUAGGUUAUAAAUUAAAUUUUUAUGUUAAUUGCUUCAUAUUUUGCCUUUAAUAUAGUUAAAUAAUGAACAAAGAUACAGAGUAUGACAAUUGGGAUUAUUACAGUUGAGCCAAGCUUGGCACACAAUACAUCUAGAAUUCUCUAGAACACAAAAUUCUCAAAUUUUCUGUUUGCUUUGACUAGUAUUGCAGUUUCAGUUAUAUUUCAGAGUGGAAUAUACAACUAAUUAGGUCAUAGAAGAUUCUGUCAUCUCAAUGACGAUAAAUUUUAAUCUUACAGAGCAGAGGAUGAGGAUGCAACACAUCUUGAAGAUAACGAAUGUGAUAUCAAAUUGGCAGGGGAUAGUUUCAUAGUAAGUUCUGAAUUCCCUGUAAGACUGAGUGUAUACUUAGAAGAAGAGGAUAUUACUGAAGAAGCUGCUUUGUCUAAAAAGAGAGCUACAAAAGCCAAAAAUACUGGAAAGAGAGGCCUGAAAAUGUGACAGGAUCAUGAAUGUCAAAGGCUUUUAUCUUGAGAACAUGGUGUCUGGAGUUAAAGGUAUUGACAUACUCCACACAUCUGUACUAUUCUUGAGUGAUCGCUUAGGUAAGUUUUAAUUGGUGACAGUAUAAUCUUUUGGGAAAUAAUGAU
rnacentral:sRNA from 1 species